ensembl:lncRNA
UCUCUCUCUCUCUCUCUCUCUCUCUCUCACACACACACACACACACACACACACACACACACACACUCACCAUCCCUCUGUGCCUCUCCUAACUGCACCAUCCUUCUCUUCUCUUCUGGUAGUGUUACUAUCGUAGUGCCCCUUAUCUCUCCACCUCUCAGAUGGUAUCUGCCCUCCCACCACUAUGUCUGCUUUUCUCCCUGCCAAUGUCACCCCUGCCCAGAAGGCUAGGAUUCUGCCCUUUGGGGACAUUCCAGGCAAAUGGGCCUUCACACCUCUCCUCUGCUUUGUCAUCCAGAGUGCCACCUGCCUGAUCACAGAGAAUCCUCAGGACUGCAGGGAUGAGACAUCCUGUGCAAAAGAGUUGGACCCACCAGAAUGCACAGAAGGUAGACUCUGCUCCACUUUUCCACCUGCUCCUUGUCCCCCUGGAACCUUCCUCUCUGGAGCGGGUUACCACAAUACCUCCUUCUGUGACCUCUGGCCUCCUGGGUUCUUCAAGCCCUGGCCUGGCCAGGAUGCCUGUUUCCCCUAUGGCUCAGAGGUCACCCAGCCAGAGAAGGAAAAGGACACCUGUGUCUGCCAUGGGCCUGGGAGAGUGUUCCAGCCCAGUGACAGUCAGUGCCCCUGCCUCCCAGGCUGCCAAGACAUUGGCAAGCCCAUGGGUUGUGUCCAGCGGGAACACAAAAGCUGCCAAGAUGGGGCCACUUGGAACCAGGAGGGCCUAUGUUUGACCAAAGAUCAGUGGACUGACCACUGUGCCCAUGAGGUGUGUGCCAUACCAAGAGAUGCCCAUGGCUAUGACCCAGACGUAGGACUCUGCUUGUGCUGGGGACAAUACUCAAGUGGAAUGUGUGGCCCCCUGUGCCUAGAAGAACAGAAACAUGUCCUGCAACUCAGCUGCCCUGAUGGCAUCCCACAGACUUUCAUCACUGAAGGUGUUGGGAGCCAGGGGCCACUUCUACAAUACACUGGAGCAGUUUGACUGGGGGUGCUUUUGGUUCCUGGCCGAGGAAUCUCCACUCUCUGAGCAAGGGACCCACCUCUUUCUGCAGCAGUUCCAGCUGCCUGGGGUCUACAUUUUUCAUCUGAGCAACAACCGGCAUUGGAAGAUGGUUUGUCUAUGAUGGUUUGCCUCGUUUGAGACCUUAUUCCUUUUCCUCCUCUUUAAAAAAAAUAAAACCACAUAAUAACCACCUUAGAUAGAUCUUCAGGCAAAUUAAUGCCCUAGAUGUCUCCACUUAAGUUUCAGGGUCUCACACUCCUAACAGAUGAUUCUGAGGACACCAAGCUUCCCUCCAUAGCAGCCCAAAAAGUGAUAUGCAAAAAGAGGAUUGUGAGGACAAAUACUCAAAUGUGCCUAAAGGAUAUCAGUGGUAACAAAUGGCUUAGGACCUCCGGUUCUCACAAGCCCUGUACUUUAUCUUCCCCUCCCACCCUUCUCCUAUCCUGAAGGCACAUAUCCCAAGACCAUCUACAUAAUAAUUUAUCUCUAUGACCCACACAUUAUGCCUCCACUGAUCCAGGUGCUUUGUCUACGUCACCCAAGGAACUUAAUAUAUUAGCCUAUUAGCAUGUCAUCUAAUAGGCUGUACUGACCUAGCCCUGGAAUAUAUAGUCAGCUCCCCCUAUAAAUAGUCAUUUGAUACAUAUGAGUUUCCCAGGAAAACCCAGAUUCCACACACCCCCACACACAGUCCCAGGUCUACACAACAAUCUGGACUAUUUGGUUAGUGUUGACAUGCCUGGAUUGCCACUCUGUCCUCUCGUAAGUCUCUGAUAGACAGACAAAGAAUGAACAGACUUCUUUCCAUGCAGUACCUCUGCACUCUUCCACCUGGGGGCCAAUGCUUUGGAGAUGGGCCUUUGCCUUCACAACCCCUAGGUAUCUCAUCCAGACUGGUAUCGUCAAGAUCCCCAGUGCCCUGAAGAGGUCUGACUGGCCAGAAGUCCUGGGGGAGAUCGUGCUGCUCCUGAGACUCUGCCUGGUUUUGUUGUUUCAGUAUCACCAGCUCAGCUGGGCUCGGAGGGCCACCCCUUAUCCAACCUACAGUAUCUAUCAGCAAGGAUACAACCUUGAUGCAUACACUUCUCCAAGAACUGGGAUGAUUUCAGUAAGAAGAGGCCAAUCUCAACAAGAUUCUGAUGCUCCCAGACAUGAGGGAGGCCAUGGUUGGAGUUAGGAGGCUGAGAAGCAGGUGGACAUGGAGUGGUUUGACACAGAAGCCUUCUUUGAGAUCCUGCUCCUGAUCACUGCUCUGGCAGUGACAACCAAACUCAGCCAAACCAAGGAGGAGGGUAGUUCCCCAGAUGGACACUGUGCUGGAUCACCUGUCCCAGGCCUUACUGCAGGAGGGCCAUUGCCUAAAGGCCUGGGGAUUCCUAGGCAAUGGCAUUGGGGCAGAGCUGCUGAGGCCAGCCUUGGCAGACCCUCAAGGGGGCACUGAUGACAUCAGAGUGAAUCCAGUCACCAAGUUGCUGGUCCCUGGCCCUAACUGUGCCAUGCUUCCAGCCAAUGGCCAUGCAGGGCCCAUACCUCCUGGCUACUUCAUUCACCCUGACACUGGGUGUGUGCUGCCUGAGGCUAGACACCUGGGAUAUGACCUACUGAAUGCUACCUUGGUGCCUACUACUGAUUCUAAUACUGGUGAGACCUUUGCCCACUAACUUGCCCCCAUCUUGCUUUGAGGUGCAGAGAUGGGGCAGAGCUCCCUGAGGCCCUCAGGAAUGAACUCCCUGGAACCAGGCUUUUGUCCUUCAACAAAAGAGCAGUAAAUACUUUCGCCCCCUCCUCACCUUAAUGUUCCUUAUGGAUGUCAAGGGUCCCAUGAGUGAAAAGAGAUCCUCAAUGAAAAAAAGCGGGUGCCAUAGCUCCUCUCUGCCAAAAUCUGCAGGCAAGGAAGGGAGGCUGCUGUUUUAAGGGGUACUAACAACCUCCCUGUCUCCCUGUCCAGGUGGCGUCUGAACAUCAGAAGCUGCCAUCAUCCCCUAUGUGCCCUACCCAACUUGUUCUACCACAGGUUCCCUUCCAGCCAUGGAUCUGCCCAUCCUGCAGCCACGAAGAACGUCACAGCUGGGGGCACUCAUGACCAAUCCUAUAAUGGGCAUUGAAGUGCCCGUGUUAGCUGUGACUCUGCACCCCCAAACAAGGCAGUGGCUCACCCUUGGGGGGACAUACAGCAAUCCUCUCACCAAAACAUUGGCCCCUCUUGAGUUGGGAGGCCCUAUGGAGGAUCCAGUCACAGGAGGCAUCUCACCAAUCCUUAGAGUUGGAUUGGAUGAAAACACAGGUCUUCUGGCAGCCCUCAGUGCUGUCCUCCUGUCCUCUCCUCCCUGUCUGGUCUGGCUCCCCAAUCCCUUUUUCUGAGCUCUCAUGUUCUGUUCCAAACUGUAAACUCUGCCCCAUUUUACCUUCCCACUCAGAAUCCUCCCUCUGCAUGUGACCUCCAACCUCCCCUCCCCUUCUCAACCCCUUUGUCCUCUUCCUCACUUCCACUACAGUGACUCUGGGGAAGAAAAAGAGAGGCAAGGUAACUUACAGUAAAAGUAAACCCAGGAGGGCCAUUUCUCUCCUGCCAGCACAGCGUACUCCCUACCACCCUCUCUCUCACCCUCUGUUCUGUCAAGUCUUGCAACUCAUUCUCCCUCAGGCUGUUGCUCCCCUAUCCCUCACCUAUCUGGGUACCAAUAGUCCCUUUCUCACUUUGCCUUCCUGAUUUCUUGCUUUCAGGUCAGGUGCUUCCACUAGGAGGGCUGUGAGAUGCUGCUGGGAACCUUAUGCUGCCUGGUGACAGCUUUGUGGAGCCACUGAGCAGGAAGACAGUCUGGCUCCAAGGGGCUUCCAAACAGAAGGGCAGGACAUUGCCCUGUACAGGAGGGUCGCAGGCCCUGCUGGAUGCCAAUGUGCUGGUGGCCCAGAGAAGAGUGAUUGCAGUGCUCUAGCAGUGCCAGGAGCAUCCAGGGCAGAGGGAACAGGGGCCCCUGGAGGCUGCCAUCAAGGGCAUGAGACAGGCACUGGCCUUGAGUCUGCAUCACAUCCUGCAGCAGGCUUGGAGACUGGCCAGACAGCUGGAGGCAGCACGUGGCAUCGAAGCCAGUGGUGGCAGGAUGGGAAUGAUGUGCUAUCCUGGGACAGAGCUGUGGAUCCCAGCCCUGUAUGGGAUGGAGAUCCCAGACUCUGAGGGCUCAGGACUCAUGGUGCCCCUCCUGGGUAUGCAGCAAGAUGGCAAUUCUGGUAAUGCCACACCGCUGGCAGGCUCAAUGGAAGAUGCUGAUGGUAAAGGUCUUGUCCCAAUUUCCAUUGGGGCUCAAGCCGUAGACCCCUUGACUGGAGAGCCUGGUCCUGUCAUUGGUGCUCAAGAGGAUCCUUUUGGCAGUGUGGUGGUGCCUGUUGUACAGGUGCUAGAGGCCUUGCCUUGAGGAGUGAGAAACCCUGAUCUGUGGGACCUCCUGGAGCGGGAGCUGAGAGCAUGACAGCAGUACUGGCACCACCAGGAACAGGAGGAGGAACGCCUAGUGGAACACCUAGAGUACCUGAGCCAGGAACUCCACGGUUCACGCAACAACAUCAGGCUGCAGCUGAAAGCUUCCAAGGAGGCCUGUGCAGCCCUGGAGGGCUGCUGCCUGCAAGAGACAGAGCGGAGAACCAGAGCUAUGAGCAUGCUCAGCAGCCCAGAGCAGGGCCUGCUCUUUCAAGCAGACAGACAAGAGUGGGAAGAGGAGGCUCAGGUGGCACUGGGCAUGAAGAAGGUCCUGCAGAAGGUCCUGCAGAGUUUAGAGCAAGCAGCAGCAAAGCUCAGUCAAGCAUCGGUCAGGCUGCAGGGCCAGGAGGAAGAGAUAUGGCUGCAACAGGGUAGGAAUCAGAACCCACAAGUCGGGAACCAUCCCAGGAAGGUAGUCCAGCAUCUUUCUGAUGCAUUCCAGAAGAUGGUGAGGGAGAGACAGAACGUCUUAGACAGGGCCCGUGGUCAGCUGCAGUACCAACGGGAGCUGAGCCUCCUCCAGCUCUUGCACACACAGGAACCAGGCAACUGCCUGCCCACUGUUAAUCGCAUUCCUGAAAAUCCUCACUGCAGUGGUAGAGGGAGAUCAAGAACACAGUCUAGGGCUGGAGGAUCAAAAGCCAAGAGCAGAUAAAGUUGACACCAUCUGGGCCUCACCAUUCUCCAUCCUGAAGAAAACAGACAUCUGGUCCCAAGCCCACAAAGAAGGAGCUGAACUGCAAGGACAAGAGCAUCAUGAACCAGAUGAGGAAACUGAAGCUUCUGAAUAGGUCAAACUCAAAAAGCUUUUUGCAGGAUCUCCUAAAACCUCAGACAAUGGAGAAGAAAACGCUAAUAACUGUGCAAACCACAAACCUUUCUGCUAGGGAGUUUGUGGUUUAUCGACACGGCCUGUCUGUCCUGCAUCUCCUCAUCCCCCAGCUUCAUGCUCCAGAAAUCACUCUGCAGAUUGUUUCUCAUCUUCCUGCCAUGGAAGCCUCCGGCAAUGCCUUCCAAGGUUCCUUCUUCUAUCAGAGUCCUGAAAAUACAUUGUAUGUUGGUAGAGAGUGUUUGGAAUCUGUGGGAAGCUUUGUUCGGCUGUUGAUCCACUGCCUGGCCCACAUUGCUGCUGGAGAUCUCCACCAGGACUCCAACCCCACCUUUCUGAGAUCAUUUUAUGAGGGGCUGAAGGCCUAUUUCAGAGAAGCAUUCUCUACCACAUUGCAAAUGUCAGCAGUUGCCUGGGAUAGUAAGCUUGACCAAAGCAUAAGUGCUAUUCUCCUGGAAGAGCAGCCCAUUUCUGAAAGAGAGAAAGAUAUUCUCUCUAAACUCAUUGAAAGGAAGCAUGGGUGUCAUUUAGAGCCAAGGUCAUCAGAAGAGUACAUUGAGAAAAACAAAGAUCUUCUCUUUUUCACCAAUAUGGAACAUUUCCUGAAAAGCAUCCUUGCAUCAGAGCAACAAAUUCUAGGAAUAUCAAGAGAUCAAUUUGGGGGUGAAGAUAAGAUCUAGAAACAAAAUGGUGAUCUCACCUUAGCCUGCAUGAUUAAGAGGCUAAAUGUAUCAAUACAUGGGAAGAAGCUAAAAUGAAUUCUUGAAAAUGUUUAUUAUUCAUAAAUAAAUGACAUAAAUCUAUUUUAUAGUCUUGGGUAUAUAUGUAAUAGGAGCUAAUGUUUGCAAGAGAAGAUAAGGAACCUGCCAAUAGUUUCACUGUGACUAGAGGAGAC